rnacentral:pre_miRNA from 1 species
UUUUUUGUAUAAGUGUGUCCCAUGCAACAUUUGGGAUAUACUUAUACUAGAA